UUGGUAUAAAAAUAAAAAUAAAUAAAAAUAGUGUGAGAAACUAUUUUUAUUGGAUUUAUAGAAGUAAAACAUAAGUCAGAAGUGACUUGUGUUGAAAUCGGAAUGAAACAGAAGAUUUAGAAUUUUCUGUUGAAAACGGGACAGAUAAAUUAGCAGAAAAUGCAUAGUCUCAGAAAAUUAUGAAAAUUGGAAGAUAAGUCAGAAAUAUUUUUAUGAGGCUUGAUUUAAAGUUUCAUAUUUUUCUGACACCCGUAGAGUAAGAAAUAAAAUCCGACAGCUAUCUAAUAAAGAUUACAGUUCGGUACAGUUUUCAGUGACCAAACGGGGUCGAAACUGAAAAUUUAAGAUAUAUUCUUACUCAGUACGUUAAACUGAGCCUGUCUGUCAAAUUUGAGCUCAAACAUACAUUCAGAAGGGCUCCAACUAUUCUGAACUGCUAAACUGCCUGG
rnacentral:lncRNA from 1 species